UCUGGUUGUGAGUGGAUCCAAGAGUUCACAUGAUGCAGUAUCUUUUUGAAAGAUGAUACAUUAUCUUCAUAAAAGAAAGGAAGUUGGAGGAGUUAUUAUUGAAGAGGGAUUCAGUGGUAUGUGCUUCUCAAGAGCUAAACUGGAACAAGAAGUGCAUGACUCUCAUGCCUACACUAACUAAUCAGACUUCCCGAAGGAGAAGAAGGAGGUGCGGAAAGAGGAUGGGAGCAACAAAUCUGAAUCAAAGAGGGUGAGAAUUACUUAUCGAUGACUCGGGCAUCAACUCUUGAUUUUCGGCGGAAGACACAGGGUCAGAACAACUGGUCUGGGCCGUUGCGCCCAGUAAAUGUCAUCAGAAAUAAAUUCCCUACCUACAAGAAUGGUACGAAUGGGAUAGUCAUCAAAUUUGCUGAUGAGCCAGAAACGCCAUGACUUAAGGAGUCUGUUGCCAAAGAGACAGCAGAUCUGCUUGAUCGGCGUCAGCGUCUUUCAGUCCGCGAGCUCGCAAUGAAAUUUGAGAAGGGCCUCAGUACUGCCACAUUAUUAUCUAAUGAGGUAUGGGUCUUCCUGAUUCCUGAACACUCAUUUAGCAAUUGGUCCAGUUAUUACAGACCUUAAGUUAUUGCAUUGGCUUUAACUCUCAGGUUAAAUGUAAACAAGUAGCUUUAUUGGAGCGAGACAUCCUUCUGAAGAAUCUAAAGAGUGUAUUGGAGUCACUGAGAGGACAAGUAGCUGGCAAAUAUAAGGAUGAAUUUGAGGAAUCAGUAUCUAUGGUGGAUAUUUUAGCAGUUCAGCUGUCCAAAAGAGAAAAUGAGUUGCUUCAGCAGAAAACCGAGGUCACGAGAAUAGCGACUUCACUGAAACUGG